GAUAACCUGUGCAGCUUGUUUCAUAUAUUGUGGGAGCUUUGUUUGUUUGCUCCUUGUUUGGGUCCACAGUGCUUUUAUGAGCUGUAAUAUUACCUGCAAAGGUCUGCAGCUUAAGUCCUGAAGCCAGCGAGACUACGAACCCACCGGGAGAAAGGAACAACUCCAGAAGCGCCGCCUUAAGAGCUGUAACAGUCACUGCGGAAGUGUGGAGUUUCACUUCUGAGCCGGUGACCAUGAACCCACCAGAAGGAAGAAACGCGGAACACAUCAGAACAUUAGAAGGAACAAACUUUGGACACGUCGCCUUUAAGAACUGUGACACUCAACAUGAGGGUCCUCGGCUUCAUUCUUGAAGUCAGUGAGACUGAGAACCCACCAAUCCCGGACACAGGACUACAGGCAUGCACCGUCACGCAACGUUAAUUUUUUUUUUUUGGUAGAGACAGUUUUGUGAUGUUGCCCAGGCUGGUCUCCGGGGUUCAAGCCAUUUUUCUGUCUCAGCCUCCCAAAGUGCUGGAAUUACAGAUGCGAGCCACUGUGCUUGGCCUGUAUGUUACUUUAAGCCACUAAAUGUAUAGCAAUUUAUUGCACAGCAAUAGAAAGCAGCCAGAAAGAAAAACAUUUUUUGGUAAAGAAAUGGGAACUCACUCUCACCCAAGCUGGAGUGCUGCUGUGACACGAUCAUAGCUAAUUGUGGCUCUGAGUUCCUAGGGUCAAGAGAUCCUUGCACCUCAGCCUCCCAAUUAGCGGGGGCUAAAGGCACCACCAUGCCAUGCUAAUUUUUAAAAAAUUUUUUGUAGAGACAAGGAUCUUGCUAUGUUGCCCAGGCUGGUCUCAAACUCCUGGCCUCAAGCGAUCCUCCCAGCUUGGCAUUCGAAAGUGCUGGGGUUACAGGUAUGAGUCACCCAGCUCACCUCGCCCGACCAAGAAAAACAACUGUUGGGGCUGAGCGCAGUGGCUCACUCCUGUAAUCCCAGUAUUUUGAGAGGCGGAGGCGGGUGGAUCACCAGAUCGGGAGUUUGAGAGCAGCCUGACCAACAUGGUGAGAACCUGUGUCUUAAAAAAAUACAAAAGUUAGCUGAGCGCAGUGGUGCGUGCUUAUAGUCCCAGCUACUGGGGUGGCUGAGGCAGGAGAAUCGCUUGAACCCAGGAAGCAGAAGUUGCAGUGAGCUGAGAUCGCGCCACUGCACCCCAGCCUGGAUGACAGAGCGAGAUUCCGUCUCAAAAAAAAAAAAAAAAUUUAACUCGCAUAAUCCACUGACCCA
rnacentral:lncRNA from 1 species